CAGAAUCAUAUCUGCCAAGGCCCAGAGUAACCGUUUCCAGUUUCUUAAUAUAGGCCUGCCUGUUUGUUGACUCUGGUCCCCCAGGGUGGUCCCUGAUUGUUGGGGUCACUGGCCUGGAGGGUUGCUUCAUAAGACGCCAUUACUGAUCCUGGCCCCUGACCUCCUCUGCUGGACCCUCUUUCCAAUAAUAUUGUUAGCAGAUUCUCUUGGGUACAUUUCAUAUCAGUGUGCUAUUUGAGGGAAGACCGAUGCUUUCUGCAUAUUCUCCCCCACUGAUUGUGGGAUUUGCAGGCAGGAAAUGCCACAAGACAGACCACAGUGGUUUGAUUAGGAAACUCUUGAAGGAUGACCAGGCGAGUAGCCCCACUGAGAGGCAGUUUGUGCUAGAAGGCUGAAGAAUUCUGUUUGAGGAGCCACUUAGGGAAUCAGUGUCUGCGAAUAUGCGUUAGAAUACAUCCCUCAGUAGCAGUCACACUGUUUGUGUUUUUUCAUAGCCCCAGGAUGGA
rnacentral:lncRNA from 1 species